rnacentral:rRNA from 1 species
GUACACUCCUGCGGGAGGCAGCAGUGGGGAAUAUUGCACAAUGGGCGCAAGCCUGAUGCAGCCAUGCCGCGUGUAUGAAGAAGGCCUUCGGGUUGUAAAGUACUUUCAGCGGGGAGGAAGGCGAUAAGGUUAAUAACCUUGUCGAUUGACGUUACCCGCAGAAGAAGCACCGGCUAACUCCGUGCCAGCAGCCGCGGUAAUACGGAGGGUGCAAGCGUUAAUCGGAAUUACUGGGCGUAAAGCCCACGCAGGCGGUCUGUCAAGUCGGAUGUGAAAUCCCCAGGCUCAACCUGGGAACUGCAUUCGAAACUGGCAGGCUAGAGUCUUGUAGAGGGGGGUAGAAUUCCAGGUGUAGCGGUGAAAUGCGUAGAGAUCUGGAGGAAUACCGGUGGCGAAGGCGGCCCCCUGGACAAAGACUGACGCUCAGGUGCGAAAGCGUGGGGAGCAAACAGGAUUAGAUACCCUAGUAGUCCCAUGAU